rnacentral:rRNA from 1 species
UACGAAGGGGGCUAGCGUUGCUCGGAAUCACUGGGCGUAAAGGGCGCGUAGGCGGCCGAUUAAGUCGGGGGUGAAAGCCUGUGGCUCAACCACAGAAUUGCCUUCGAUACUGGUUGGCUUGAGACCGGAAGAGGACAGCGGAACUGCGAGUGUAGAGGUGAAAUUCGUAGAUAUUCGCAAGAACACCAGUGGCGAAGGCGGCUGUCUGGUCCGGUUCUGACGCUGAGGCGCGAAAGCGUGGGGAGCAAACAGGAUUAGAAACCCGAGUAGUCC